GCAGUAGCCGCGGGAAUACGUAGGGUGCGAGCGUUAAUCGGAAUUACUGGGCGUAAAGCGUGCGCAGGCGGUUGUGUAAGACAGGUGUGAAAUCCCCGGGCUUAACCUGGGAACUGCGCUUGUGACUGCACAGCUAGAGUAUCGCAGAGGGGGGUGGAAUUCCACGUGUAGCAGUGAAAUGCGCAGAGAUGUGGAGGAACACCGAUGGCGAAGGCAGCCCCCUGGGCCAAUACUGACGCUCAUGCACGAAAGCGUGGGGAGCAAACAGGAUUAGAUACCCGCGUAGUCCCUGUCUCUUAUAC
rnacentral:rRNA from 1 species